AGAGUUUGAUCAUGGCUCAGGAUGAACGCUAGCUACAGGCUUAACACAUGCAAGUCGAGGGGCAGCAUGGUCUUAGCUUGCUAAGGCCGAUGGCGACCGGCGCACGGGUGAGUAACGCGUAUCCAACCUGCCUUACACUCUUGGACAGCCUUCUGAAAGGGAGAUUAAUACAAGAUGUUAUCAUGAGUAAGCAUUUUCGCAUGAUUAAAGGUUUACCGGUGUAAGAUGGGGAUGCGUUCCAUUAGAUAGUAGGCGGGGUAACGGCCCACCUAGUCUUCGAUGGAUAGGGUUCUGAGAGGAAGGUCCCCCANAUUGGAACUGAGACACGGUCCAAACUCCGUACGGGAGGCA
rnacentral:rRNA from 1 species